UAGCACUCAGACCUUCUGGUGUCAUUUGC
rnacentral:piRNA from 1 species